AUGGAGGGGGGACUCAGGAAGAAGACGGAGAUCAAGUCCGGGAAGAUGGAGGCCGGCCAGGGGACGGAGAUGGAAGGGGAGCUCAGGAAAGAGCAGGAGAGGAUCAGGAAGCUUCGGGACCAACUCAUCAAGAGUUGUGAAUCCUCCACGGACCCGGCGACGCAAAGGAUAUUCUUGGAUCAGCUGGAUAUACUCUGGAGGGAGGAGUACGCACUCCGCACGAAGAUGAGUAAGUCCGGGAUGGAGAUUCAGAGGGCUCCCGGUUCCGAUACCGAUUCCGAUUCCGAUUCUGGCAAUGAGAUGGGCAGUUCGGGGGUGCACCCAUACCUCAUAAGGAUGGAGUGGAGACUGAGGAAGGAGACGGAGAGGGAUUCCAGCAAGGGGACCGAGAUGGAGUCCGGCAAAGAGCAGGAAAUGGAGGGGAAACUCAGCAAGGAGCACGAGAGACUCAGGAAGGUUCGGUACCAACUCAACAAGAGGUGCGACUCCACCAAGGACCCGGCGACGCAAAGGAUACUCUUGACUCGGCAGGAGAUACUCUGGACCAAGGAGCAAGCACUCCUCACGGUGAUGAGGCAGUCGGGGAUGGAGAUUGAGAGGGAUCCCGAUUCCGAUUCCGGCAAUGAGAUGGGCAGAGAUUCGCCCCUCAUAAGCAUGGAGUGGGGACUCAGCAAGGGGACGGAGAGAGAUGCCAGUGGCAAGGAGAUGGGUCAGAUGGGUCAUGACGACUUGGUUGUUGCUCUUUCUAGCCACCUUGAGGUGCUUAGGAGGGAGAUCUCGUUCCUGAGGACAGAGGUCACGUCCCGGGGCAAUGGGUUGGCUGGAAAUGGAAACAAGGCUGAUCAAGAGCACAUCAUCAUGUCUAACCUAUCCCUCGAUGACACUCUACUCAAGAAGAAGGGGGCGAAGGAGAAGAUCUGA
rnacentral:rRNA from 1 species